CAGGUCCAAGCUGUGCACGUCUAGACAGACUGCCGUGGACAACACGGAGGAAGGUGGGGAUGACGUCAAAUCAUCAUGGCCCUUACGGCCUGGGCUACACACGUGCUACAAUGGUCGGUACAAAGGGUUGCCAAGCCGCGAGGUGGAGCUAAUCCCAUAAAACCGAUCGUAGUCCGGAUCGCAGUCUGCAACUCGACUGCGUGAAGUCGGAAUCGCUAGUAAUCGUGAAUCAGAAUGUCACGGUGAAUACGUUCCCGGGCCUU
rnacentral:rRNA from 1 species